GGUUAAGCGACUAAGCGUACACGGUGGAUGCCCUGGCAGUCAGAGGCGAUGAAGGACGUGCUAAUCUGCGAUAAGCGUCGGUAAGGUGAUAUGAACCGUUAUAACCGGCGAUUUCCGAAUGGGGAAACCCAGUGUGAUUCGUCACACUAUCAUUAACUGAAUCCAUAGGUUAAUGAGGCGAACCGGGGGAACUGAAACAUCUAAGUACCCCGAGGAAAAGAAAUCAACCGAGAUUCCCCCAGUAGCGGCGAGCGAACGGGGAGCAGCCCAGAGCCUGAAUCAGUGUGUGUGUUAGUGGAAGCGUCUGGAAAGGCGCGCGAUACAGGGUGACAGCCCCGUACACAAAAAUGCACAUGCUGUGAGCUCGAUGAGUAGGGCGGGACACGUGGUAUCCUGUCUGAAUAUGGGGGGACCAUCCUCCAAGGCUAAAUACUCCUGACUGACCGAUAGUGAACCAGUACCGUGAGGGAAAGGCGAAAAGAACCCCGGCGAGGGGAGUGAAAAAGAACCUGAAACCGUGUACGUACAAGCAGUGGGAGCACGCUUAGGCGUGUGACUGCGUACCUUUUGUAUAAUGGGUCAGCGACUUAUAUUCUGUAGCAAGGUUAACCGAAUAGGGGAGCCGAAGGGAAACCGAGUCUUAACUGGGCGUUAAGUUGCAGGGUAUAGACCCGAAACCCGGUGAUCUAGCCAUGGGCAGGUUGAAGGUUGGGUAACACUAACUGGAGGACCGAACCGACUAAUGUUGAAAAAUUAGCGGAUGACUUGUGGCUGGGGGUGAAAGGCCAAUCAAACCGGGAGAUAGCUGGUUCUCCCCGAAAGCUAUUUAGGUAGCGCCUCGUGAAUUCAUCUCCGGGGGUAGAGCACUGUUUCGGCAAGGGGGUCAUCCCGACUUACCAACCCGAUGCAAACUGCGAAUACCGGAGAAUGUUAUCACGGGAGACACACGGCGGGUGCUAACGUCCGUCGUGAAGAGGGAAACAACCCAGACCGCCAGCUAAGGUCCCAAAGUCAUGGUUAAGUGGGAAACGAUGUGGGAAGGCCCAGACAGCCAGGAUGUUGGCUUAGAAGCAGCCAUCAUUUAAAGAAAGCGUAAUAGCUCACUGGUCGAGUCGGCCUGCGCGGAAGAUGUAACGGGGCUAAACCAUGCACCGAAGCUGCGGCAGCGACGCUUAUGCGUUGUUGGGUAGGGGAGCGUUCUGUAAGCCUGUGAAGGUGUGCUGUGAGGCAUGCUGGAGGUAUCAGAAGUGCGAAUGCUGACAUAAGUAACGAUAAAGCGGGUGAAAAGCCCGCUCGCCGGAAGACCAAGGGUUCCUGUCCAACGUUAAUCGGGGCAGGGUGAGUCGACCCCUAAGGCGAGGCCGAAAGGCGUAGUCGAUGGGAAACAGGUUAAUAUUCCUGUACUUGGUGUUACUGCGAAGGGGGGACGGAGAAGGCUAUGUUGGCCGGGCGACGGUUGUCCCGGUUUAAGCGUGUAGGCUGGUUUUCCAGGCAAAUCCGGAAAAUCAAGGCUGAGGCGUGAUGACGAGGCACUACGGUGCUGAAGCAACAAAUGCCCUGCUUCCAGGAAAAGCCUCUAAGCAUCAGGUAACAUCAAAUCGUACCCCAAACCGACACAGGUGGUCAGGUAGAGAAUACCAAGGCGCUUGAGAGAACUCG
rnacentral:rRNA from 1 species